GUGGGCAUGCCGGAGUGGUUAUCGGGCAUGACUAGAAAUCAUGUGGGUUUUGCCCGCGCAGGUUCGAAUCCUGCCGCUCAUG
rfam:Ipomoea nil DNA, scaffold: scaffold2283, cultivar: Tokyo-kokei standard.